rnacentral:tRNA from 1 species
AAAAGAAUUGAAGCAAGCUGUUGAUUUUUCGGCUUAGUUGUCCUGACUUCUAAGCCGGCGGUUACAGGUUCGAGUCCUGUCGGGCGCGCCA